UAUGUAUGUAGUUACAUUGAUAGAUUUUGAGAUUUAUGUUUAUAUGUGUAUAGAGUAACAUAUAUAUAUUUAUAUAUAUGUAUUAAAGUGCAUAGCUAUUUAGUUAGAGGUUUGUGGCAACUUAGAUGCAUAGAUUAAGCUAUGUAGGCCUAGGCUGCAUUUGUACCUCUUUCCCCCUCGGCUGCCUUUUUCACCUCUUGCUUUUCCCCCGGUGUCCCCUGUGUCCCCUGUCCCUGUGCUGGGUCCGAGCUGGCGGCCGGGCCGGCCGGAGCAGCACUUCCAGCCCCGGCUGUCCCUGGAGCGGUGGGAGCUGCCGCUGGCCCCAGGCACUGUCCCCUGAGGAGCUGCUGAAGGACGCUGCAAGGAAGACCUUGAAGACAGCCACAGAGUGACGGGAGGCAGCCGGGAGGAGCUGAAGGCCAGCAGCAAGAGCAGCGAACGGGGACCUGUUGCUGCCAGCCUGGAGAGAGCCCGGAUGUCCCAUCUGCUGUCGCUGUCCAGGAGAGCUGCUCUGCAUGGGAGGAGGAGACCGAGGGAGAGGCUUGGAAGAUGGGGCAGCUGAGAUCCCUCUGCUUGAAGCUCUGUUUAAAGAUACAUGGACUUUCACGUGGACAGGGAUUAUUUCAUGUGUAUUUCCAUAUGUGGGUUGCUAUUUGUAUAGGAAUAUUUCUAUUUAUAUGUAAUUAUAUGUAUGGAUGUAUGCUAUGUCUAUGUAUAUGGUUCCAUUUCUGUCUAUUUAUUGAUAUUCACAUAUGUGUCCAGAUGUACAGCUCUGUGUUUGUAUUCAUGCAGUUGAAUGGAUAUUUAGCUUGGCAGAGUGAUAUUUGUAUAUAUACUGAUAUAUAUAUUUUUUUAAUAUGUAUAUUUUAUGUAGUAUGUGAUGUUUAAUCUAUACUUACAUCUGUUGAUUGUUAUAGUUAUGUAUGUAUUUAUAUAUGUGCAUAUACAUAUGUAUUUAAAUCUAUUUAAAGAUGUAUGCAGGGUAUAGUUGUGUAAUUCUAUUGAAUUCUUAGUGUGGGGCUAUUUAGAGAGGGAAUGUGUAUUUUUGUAUUUCUAUAUGGGCUCUACAUUUGUAGCAAUAGGUAAUAAAUUAAGUUGUUAAACGCCUAAUUGAUCUUUGUGUAUAGUGAGUUGUGUAUAGUAGAGGUUGGCAAUAAAUUAAGUUUUGUUAAGUGAAUUUGGUAUUUGUAUAUUUUUACAUGGACUGGUUAUAAUAAUCUAAUA